GACGAACGCUGGCGGCGUGCUUAACACAUGCAAGUCGAACGGAAAGGCCCUGCUUUUGUGGGGUGCUCGAGUGGCGAACGGGUGAGUAACACGUGAGUAACCUGCCCUUGACUUUGGGAUAACUUCAGGAAACUGGGGCUAAUACCGGAUAGGAGCUCCUGCUGCAUGGUGGGGGUUGGAAAGUUUCGGCGGUUGGGGAUGGACUCGCGGCUUAUCAGCUUGUUGGUGGGGUAGUGGCUUACCAAGGCUUUGACGGGUAGCCGGCCUGAGAGGGUGACCGGCCACAUUGGGACUGAGAUACGGCCCAGACUCCUACGGGAGGCAGCAGUGGGGAAUAUUGCACAAUGGGCGGAACCCUGAUGCAGCAACGCCGCGUGCGGGAUGACGGCCUUCGGGUUGUAAACCGCUUUCGCCUGUGACGAAGCGUGAGUGACGGUAAUGGGGAAAGAAGCACCGGCUAACUACGU
rnacentral:rRNA from 1 species